UACGUAGGGACCAAGCGUUGUCCGGAAUCAUUGGGCGUAAAGCGCGCGUAGGUGGCUUCGUAAGUCCGUUGUGAAAGUCAAAGGCUCAACCUUUGAAAGCCGAUGGAUACUGCGGAGCUAGAGUACGGAAGAGGCGAGUGGAAUUCCUGGUGUAGCGGUGGAAUGCGCAGAUAUCAGGAGGAACACCAAUAGCGAAGGCAGCUCGCUGGGACGUUACUGACACUAAUGCGCGAAAGCGUGGGGAGCGAACAGG
rnacentral:rRNA from 1 species